CACGUAGGGGGCGAGCGUUGUCCGGAUUUAUUGGGCGUAAAGAGCUCGUAGGCGGCUCGGUAAGUCGGGUGUGAAACCUCCAGGCUCAACCUGGAGACGCCACCCGAUACUGCCGUGGCUAGAGUCCGGUAGAGGAGCGUAGAAUUCCUGGUGUAGCGGUGAAAUGCGCAGAUAUCAGGAGGAAUACCAGCGGCGAAGGCGGCGCUCUGGGCCGGUACUGACGCUGAGGAGCGAAAGCGUGGGGAGCAAACAGG
rnacentral:rRNA from 1 species